AUUCCAUGGUGAGGACAGCUUCUGGUGUAUCCUUUGAGACAUUCCCAAGCUUCACUAAGGGAUUUCUGACUGUCCUGCCUAAAGGAGUUGAUAUCACUUAUGUACU
rfam:Arabis alpina cultivar Pajares Aa.chr6_contig_2430, whole genome shotgun sequence.